UAUCAACCAUAUCAUGUUCACUGUCAAUGGAAAAGACGGAAAAAAAACUAGAUUUUAUUAAUGACACUAAUCAAGCUUUGAUUUUCAAAUGAAAUAGGUGGAGGGGAAAGGAUAGGGGUGUGAGAGGUGGUGGGUCAUGGGUCCUACUAAACUAUAAAUCAUAAUAUUUAUUUUUUUUAAUUUAUAAAUAUUAAAAAGAAUGAAAAGGAAAUAGAAAAUGUCAAUAUAGUAAUUUUAUGUCUACUUUUAACCAAAUGAGGAAAGGUCUGAAUUAACAUUUUGGCACCUGCGAAGGACGAUUCGUGUAAUUUACUUUUUUUUUUCAAAUUAAAGCAUUUUUUUCUUAAUAUUAAUGGUCUAUAGCCCUGUUACCGCAAGGUUAACCGGUUCAACCGGAACUGGUCAGAUUAAUAGUUUUAAGAAGCCCAAAAACUGGCUGUUAUUGAAGCGGUAAAAAAACGGACGGUUCACAAAAAACCGAGUUAAAGCAGAGUUGUUCGCCCAAAAAACCCGGCCUAAAUAAUUAUUAUACAAGAGGCAUUUAGAAAACAAAAUCCGGCCUAGAAUAAGCAAUAUGCGUUUUCUUUUGUUUAAGUUGAAUCAAUUUGCGUUUGUAUAUAUAAAACAAUAUAAGCCUAUUUUUUCAUUACACCCACCGAUAUGGGAUAAAACACAACGCAAACUAGGAUAUCUUCUUUCCUUUUUCUACUUUUCUUCUUGGCUCCUAAAACAAACAUAUAUCCUUGCUUCUCGUUCAAUAAUCAAUACUUUCAAUCAAUUGUUAAUUUUUAAAGAAAAUAAUUAAAUAACUUUGAUGCUUUUAUACAUGUAUAUAGUUAUAAUAUUCUAUACAGUCCGGCGUUUACAGUUUUCAGGAUCGGUCCAACCGGUUAGACCAAUUGAAUCAUCGAAGGCUGUUUGUUUACCUCUUAAUUGCAAAAUUAAGAGGUAAUAUCUUAAAAAUUCAGAUUCAUUUUAUUUGUUUGCGUCUUAUUUUUUACCUCUUAAAAUUAAAAAGACCUCUUCAUUUUUCAGAUAGGAAACAAAGUCUGAAUUAAAAAAAACAUGCGUUUCUUUUUUUGCCCUAAGACACAAUCGCACGCCUCGCCUCCUCUUCUCUUCUUCCUGCACUGCGACUUCUUCCCCCUUCGCGUCAGCUUCCCUUCCCAACUGCAUACUCCGACGACACUGCUGAACGACGCCGCCUAACCAAGCAACGUCGACGGCGCUGCAACCUAGCAAGGCCGACGCUACUGCACCUGCUCGCGUCUGCAAAUCGACAGCAAAGAUAAGGGUCAAAGCAAGAAGUGUUCAAAAAGAAAUUAAGUUAAAUUUCUUUAACUCCAUUAAUGUUCAAAACAUCCAUGCCAUUUCUUUUUUCUUAAGAACUUUUUGUAAUAAAGAUUGCUUUUUUUUUUGUAAAGACUACUUGUACAUAACUAUUGGGUAGUAAUUAUAUUGAAUUAUUAGGUUGCUUA